GACGCUGUUCUGAGGGCCUAAUUGACUCAGGACAGAGUAGAUGGGGACGCUUUUUCCUUGAUGUACUGGAACUGUUUUGUUCUGUCUUGAACUGAUGAUUUAGCGCCUCGUGUAGGGAGCAGCUGGCCGAGGAAGUUGUAAGCCCCUCGCUGGGCUCAUUUAAGGGCUACCCUUUGAAUGGAGACAGUCAGAUUUCAGCAUACUUGUUUUCUGCAGUGUAUUGUUUAUUAUAAAUCUGAAAUAUUUGUAACCUCUGAACAAACAUCAUUUUGGAGAGGAGCUUGGCGCAGAAACAGUGCCUGGAUUUAAAUAGCUCAGCCACUUACUACUUGGCAUCAGUUAAAGCUGUUUUGUGACCCUGAGGGAGAACUGAGUCUCUCCAGAGAUGGACAGUGACUGGAUAGGGAAAGCAAUAUGUUACUCAUAGAGAAAGCUUUAGUUUAGUGUUUCCAAAUACUGAGAAGAUCUGGAUUCAUACCAAUUGUAUCAGGUUUCACAAACUGGCAUAUCUUUGUAAAAAUACUUGUGUGUGCCUGAUUUUGGCAUUUCUCUGGCAGCCCUGACUGUCCCCGCCACCUGCCUGGAGAUCACAUCCAUUUUCUGUGUCUCAGGAUGCCAUUUCUGCCCCUGGGACUGUCAAUACCUGCCACAGCUGAAGCUGAGCAAUAUUUAAGGCUUUUCACUGGAACUAGUCACAACCUCAUGUCUGCAUUGAGUGAGCUCUGCUGAUGGUAUUCCAGUAUGGUAGCUGACUUCCCUUUUACAAGAACGAAGAUCAUUUGUCUCAGAGGAAUUAAGGAAACUGGUGGAAGCUGUUAUGAACUCACCUGCUCCUGCAGUUACGAGCUGCCUUCUGCUUCUGGGCUUUGAUUCUCCAACACUCCAGUUCUUCAGUGACUUUAUCUAAGGGACAGUUCUCUAGCCUGCACUAUACACUGAAGUUGUACAAGAAGCUCCUAACACAAAGAAAUGCUCUUACACAUUAAUGGAUGUUUCAGAACUUCAGAGAACUACUGGAGUUUUCAGACCUCUGUCAAGAAUAUGGGGCUAAUCUUCAGCUCUGGUGCAAGAGCACUUCGUACAGAGCCUCAAAUUUAUCAGUGGUUUUAAAGACAAUGCAAAUAGAAACAUCCUCCAUAGAAAAGCUGAGAAAUACAAGUAUGUUCCUAAGUUUUUACUUUUAUUAACUAGAAAGUUAAAUUAAGGAUAUUGUAUCUGACCAUAUCACAUGGUGACCAGACAAUUCUGAUUGCUGACAUUCUCUUUCUGCCUCAGACUACUUUUUCUUAUUUACCUGUAUCUGCUGUUUGAUCAGUCCUAUACAGGUAAGAUGCGCUGAUGGUAGGACAUGGGCAAGGCCUUGGAAUUCCCAGCAGAAGUCACCUUGAAGACCGGGAUUGUCAGUCCAAUGCAGAGAAAUAUGGAAUAAAGCACAUCUGACAUACUUGACA
rnacentral:lncRNA from 1 species